rnacentral:SRP_RNA from 1 species
GCCGGGCGCGGUGGCGCGCGCCUGUAAUCCCAGCUACUCGGGAGGCUGAGGCUGGAGGAUCGCUUGAGCUCAGGAGUUCUGGGCUGCAGUGCGCUAUGCCGAUCGGGUGUCCGCACUAAGUUCGGCAUCAAUAUGGUGACCUCCCGGGAGCGGGGGACCACCAGGUUGCCUAAGGAGGGGUGAACCGGCCCAGGUCGGAAACGGAGCAGGUCAAAAACUCCCGUGCUGAUCAGUAGUGGGAUCGCGCCUGUGAAUAGCCACUGUACUCCAGCCUGGGCAACAUAGCGAGACCCUGUCUCUU